rnacentral:misc_RNA from 1 species
CGUCGGCGGGCGCCGGCCGGGCCUGCAGAGCGGAAGACAAAGCCCCAUACGCUCGAGGACCGGACGCGGUGCCGCCGCUGCCUUUCGGGCCCGUCCCCCGGGAGCCGGGGGACGAGGGCCCAACACACAAGCCGGGCUUGAGGGCAGCAAUGACGCUCGGACAGGCAUGCCCCCCGGAAUACCAGGGGGCGCAAUGUGCGUUCAAAGACUCGAUGAUUCACUGAAUUCUGCAAUUCACAUUAGUUAUCGCAUUUCGCUGCGUUCUUCAUCGAUGCCGGAACCAAGAGAUCCAUUGUUGAAAGUUUUAACUGAUUGCAAACAAUCACACUCAGACUCCAAGCUUUCAGAACAGGGUUCAUGUUGGGGUCUCCGGCGGGCACGGGCCC